AGAGACAGGGUGAAGACUGAACGAAGAGGGAAUGGGUUUGAAAAGGCAUGGAACGCACACUGCGGAAGUGAAACUGAUAGAAAAGUCUGCGCGCGCACUAUAAAUCCGCCUCCAGUCCAUCUCUCCCACAUUCUGAACUUCCGGAAAAGUCCAUAGCUCCUUCCUGUUGCGGAAACGAAGUCUAAGGUCACGUGACGGUUCCUUUGGCCGAUCCUUUACAGCGACGAGAGCGAGCGCUUGGCCGGACUAUCUGCGAUAUAUUUGUGUGUGAGGGUCACUUCCAGGUCAGUCCCUCCCACGAGGAGCCAAUGGGAAUGUGGGAGGAAGCGAGUGACACAGGGAUGAAGGGGAAGGUGGAUAAAAACAAGCGGAACAAGAGAAUCCUGAAUCUGACACUGGAGAUGAUCUAUCUGCUGACUGGAGAGCACUACAUCCCUAGGAAGAAGUCAGAUGAUGGGGGGGCCCUGCAUGCCCCUGGCUCCGUC